rnacentral:rRNA from 1 species
CUAGAUGUUGGGGGAAUCGACCCCCUCGGUGUCGUAGCUACGCGUUAAGUGUUCCGCCUGGGGAGUACGCACGCAAGUGUGAAACUCAAAGGAAUUGACGGGGGCCCGCACAAGCGGUGGAGUAUGUGGUUUAAUUCGAUGCAACGCGAAGAACCUUACCAAGGCUUGACAUCCUGCGAAUCUCUAAGAAGUUAGAGAGUGCCUUCGGGAACGCAGUGACAGGUGGUGCAUGGCUGUCGUCAGCUCGCGUCGUGAGAUGUUGGGUUAAGUCCCGCAACGAGCGCAACCCACGUUUUUAGUUGCCAGCAUUCAGUUGGGCACUCUAGAAAGACUGCCGGUGACAAACCGGAGGAAGGUGUGGACGACGUCAAGUCAUCAUGCCCCUUACGCUUUGGGCUACACACGUACUACAAUGCUGCGGACAAAGAGUAGCGAUCUUGCGAAAGUUAGCUAAUCUCAUAAACCGUGGCUCAGUUCAGAUCGUAGGCUGCAACUCGCCUACGUGAGGGAGGAAUCGCUAGUAAUCGCAGGUCAGCAUACUGCGGUGAAUACGUUCCCGGGCCUUGUACACACCGCCCGUCACACCAUGGAAGUUGGCCAUGCCCGAAGUCGUUACUCUAACCUUUUGGAAGAGGGCGCCGAAGGCAGGGCUAAUGACUGGGGUGAAGUCGUAACAAGGUAGCCGUAGCGGAAGCUGCGGCUGGAUCACCUCCUAA